rnacentral:lncRNA from 1 species
CAGGGUGCCGGGAUAGCCCUGCUGCCCUGCCAAUUUGCCCACAGAGGCUGGCAAAUCGGAAUAUGGGCCUCAUUCAUGUGAUGAGGUCCAUAGUGUCUAAGCAACCAAUUUUUAGGAAAUGACAUGUAUGAUUAUGUGUGGUAUAGAAAUAGCCUCUUAUACCUGCUUGAUGUUUACUCUUUUUAAUAAAUUUUUAUUUUUUUAAAACACACAAAAAAAAUACAUACCGUAGACAUACAAAACAUUUACAAUUCCCACCACCAACACGAGGAUUGUUUUCUUUUUACAUAUUCGUUUCUUUAUGAGACAAUUUUUAUAUCUUUAUCUUAAUCCAUUUCCAACCUAUAUACUAUAUAACAUUUGUAUCUUAUUUCUUAUGGCUUGAUCUCCAGAAUGAUUCAUGAUAUAGUUCUUUACCAUUGUCCAUCUUUCUUCCAUUUCUCUUGUUCUAUUUUCAUUAGUUUUUACAACAUUUAGUUUCACAUUCAUAAUUUCAAAUUCUAUUUGCUCCACCAUAUAUUGGUACCAUUUAUUUACUGUCCAUUUUGAUUUAUCUUUCCACCCUAAUACUAUUACUGCUUGUGCACAUUCAAUUAUUGCUUCUUUUAUUUCCCUUUUAUUUCCCAUUUCCUCUCUUUUCCCUAAUACCGCUAUUUCCUUUGUUAUGACCCACUCAUUUCCUAGUAUUUGAUUUGACUCGUUUUGUAUAGUCUGCCAAAAAUAUUGUACAUGUUCACAUUCCCACAUCAUGUGCAUAAACCGCCCUUUCUGAUGACAUCCAUGCCAGCACUGACUACUCCCCUUUUUAUAGUAGUAUGCUAAUUGGCAGGGUGUACGAUACCAUUUGUGCAAUAUUUUCCUCCUCAUUUCUCGUACUCUGGUAUUCCUUUUCAUCCCUAUUGUCUCUACCACAUUUCUCAUCUCUUGUUCUGUGAUUUGCAGCUCCGUUUCCCACAUACUUUUCAGAUCCCGUAUUAUACAUCCAUCAGCCUCUAUGAGCAUUGUAUAUAUUUUGCUGGCCUGUGCCUUCUUUCCUUCCCCCUUUUCUCUUAACCAUAUUAAUAUUUUCUUUUAUUUUGCAAUAUGCACAGAUUGCUCUUAUCUGUAACCAAUUUUCUUCUCCAAGCCAUUGUUUAAUUUUAUUUUCUCUUACCGUUCCCUCUCUGUCAUAUAGUUGUUCUAGUCUCUCUAUUCCUUUUUCCUUCAAUGUUUGAAUAUUUCUAUUCAUAUUUGAUUCCUUAUCCUUAUUGAUUAUCCAUACUGUUGACAUUUUAGAUUUUAAGCUACUUAUUCUCCCUUGCCAUUUCUUCCACACUUGCAUUGUUCCUUUCAUUGGUCCUAUUAAUUUAUCUAUAUUUCUCUUAUCCCAUUUUCUAAAGAUUAUUUCUUCACAAUUAACUCCAUUCAUUUCCUUUUCAAAUCUCACCCAUUUUUUAUUUGUCACUUGUAAUUCUAUUGCUCUUUCAAUUUGGAAGGC